rnacentral:lncRNA from 1 species
CCGAGCCCCGCUCGGUGCAGGAGCACCGACAGGAGAUGCGUGUGCCGCAGGCUCCAUCCCACGGCCGGCGGGAGCGCCCUGGGAAUUCACAGGCGCAUCCACAGCAGCUGAAAUCCUGCACGGAUGGUUCCGAAGCCACAUUUCUUGCAUAACCAGAAAGGAAUCAACCAACCUGCCAAGGAAACUGGGUUCAAGGCUUUCUGCACAAAACAGCCGCGACAGGAGUGCAGGGAAUGUUGUAAAAGCAAGGCAAAAGAAACGGGCUUUGGAGAAGGACAAGAAUUUGAUGAGGCGAAAGCCGCUUGGAGGUGCUGAAACGCGGGGUGUCAGUGGGAGAAGAGAGGGAGGUAAUGCAGCAAACGCGGCCAAGAACCUGCAGGGAGAUUAUCCCGGUCAGAACGUGCGGAGCAGAGGAGAGGAGGAGAGCAGAGGAGAGCAGAGGAGAGGGAGGAGAGCAGAGGAGAGGGAGGUACAGACCUAACAGCUGGACCCUGCUGUGCCUGCCACUGGCUAUGUCUUCAAGGAAGUGCAAAGCUCAUUAGCUUGUUUUCCAACCUCAGAUGUGCUCAAAUGCUCCCACACCACAUAGCCAUCCAGCACUGAGCCUGUCCAGUCAGCAAGACAUCCUACUCCUACAGCGUGCUCUACUUAAUCCAACCAAUCAAUACUGACAACGCUGAGAAUCAGGAAAGAAAUGUCAGGUAAUUAACUCUGAGCACCUUCUAAUUACUGCUACAUGAAAAGCACCCUUUCCUCCCAUCCUUGACCUGUUAGGUUGGGUUUUGUUUUGUUCCAAGACUUCACAGAACAAACUGGGACUUUGCAAGACCAGGCCUGGAGGGGGGUUUGGUACCACACUGAGACUGGCAGGGUAGGGGGACCCUGAAGGUAAAUUUGGUAUUGGAAAAUGCUGAGUUUGCACAUCUCUAUAUUCUGUUCAGAAACGGGUCCUAUUGCCAUCACAGCUUUUUAAAAGGAGGUAUUGGCAGAAUACAUAACCCAAGGGUUUUCACUAGUUCAAAAUGCCACCAGAGACUUGGGAGAAGCAAAUCUGCUUUGGGAUUUUCCAGAAUUUGAGACACAAAGCACAUUGAAUAUUUUAUUUAUCUGGUAAAAUGGUAAAAGGAUUUUUAGUGGCUUUCCUUUGUCCUCUGUAAAAUAAACAUCUUUAGUCCAGGUCCA